CCUACGGGUGGCAGCAGUGGGGAAUAUUGGACAAUGGGGGCAACCCUGAUCCAGCCAUGCCGCGUGUGUGAAGAAGGCCCUCGGGUUGUAAAGCACUUUCAGUGAGGAAGAACGCCUGGUGGUUAAUACCCAUCAGGAAAGACAUCACUCACAGAAGAAGCACCGGCUAACUCCGUGCCAGCAGCCGCGGUAAUACGGAGGGUGCGAGCGUUAAUCGGAAUUACUGGGCGUAAAGCGCGCGUAGGUGGCUUGAUAAGCCGGUUGUGAAAGCCCCGGGCUCAACCUGGGAACGGCAUCCGGAACUGUCAAGCUAGAGUGCAGGAGAGGAAGGUAGAAUUCCCGGUGUAGCGGUGAAAUGCGUAGAGAUCGGGAGGAAUACCAGUGUCGAAGGCGGCCUUCUGGACUGACACUGACGCUGAGGUGCGAAAGCGUGGGUAGCAAACAGGAUUAGAUACCCUAGUAGUC
rnacentral:rRNA from 1 species